AUUGAACGCUGGCGGCAGGCCUAACACAUGCAAGUCGAGCGGCUGCAGGGAGCUUGCUCCUGGAUUCCGAGUCGGACGGGUGAGUAAUGUCUAGGAAUCUGCCUGCUAGUGGGGGAUAACGUCCGGCAAAGGGCGCUAAUAUCGCACAUGCCCUGUGGGAGAAAGAGGGGGGUCUCUGGAGCCCUCGCUCUCUGAUGAGCCCAGGUCGGAGUAGCUAGUUGGUGGGGUAAAGGCCUACCAAGGCGACGAUCCGUAACUGGUCUGAGAGGAUGAUCAGUCACACUGGAACUGAGACACGGUCCAGACUCCUACGGGAGGCAGCAGUGGGGAAUAUUGGACAAUGGGCGAAAGCCUGAUCCAGCCAUGCCGCGUGUGUGAAGAAGGUCUUCGGGUUGUAAAGCACUUUAGGUUGGAAAGAAAGGCAGUAAGUUAAUACCGUGCUGUGAUGACGGUACCGACAGAAUAAGCACCGGCUAACUUCGUG
rnacentral:rRNA from 1 species